rnacentral:rRNA from 1 species
UACGUAGGGUGCAAGCGUUGUCCGGAAUUAUUGGGCGUAAAGAGCUCGUAGGCGGUUUGUCGCGUCUGCUGUGAAAACUCGGGGCUUAACCCCGGGCCUGCAGUGGGUACGGGCAGACUAGAGUGCGGUAGGGGAGACUGGAAUUCCUGGUGUAGCGGUGAAAUGCGCAGAUAUCAGGAGGAACACCGGUGGCGAAGGCGGGUCUCUGGGCCGUAACUGACGCUGAGGUGCGAAAGCUAGGGGGAGCGAACAGG